GAGGAAACGCGUGAUUUUCGCAUAAAUGGGGGAUUCUCGAAGAGAAAACGCAUGAUUUUCGGGUUAAAUGGAAGAUCUGCGAAGAGAAAACGCGUGAUUUUCGCUUAAAUGGGGGAUUCUCGAAGAGAAAAUGCGUGAUUUUAGCUUAAAUUGGGGAUUUGUGAAGAGAAAUCGCGUGAUUUUCGGGUUAAAUGGGGGAUUUGCGAAGAGAAAACGCGUGAUUUUUGCUUAAAUGGGGGAUUCUUGAAGAGAAAACACGUGAUUUUCGCUUAAAUGGAAGAUCGGCGAAGAGAAAACGCGUGAUUUUCGCUUAAAUGGGGGAUUCUCAAAGAGAAAAUGCGUGUUUUUCGCUUAAAUGGGGGAUUUGUGAAGAGCAAACACGUGAUUUUCUCUUAAAUGGGGGAAUUGUGAAGAGAAAACGCGUGUUUUUCGCUUAAAUGGGGGAUUUGUGAAGAGCAAACACGUGAUUUUCUCUUAAAUGGGGGAAUUGUGAAGAGAAAACGCGUGAUUUUCGCUUAAAUGGGGGAUUUGCGAAGAGAAAACGCGUGAUUUUCGCUUAAAUGGGGGAUUCUCGAAGAGAAAAUGCGUGAUUUUUGCUUAAAUGGGAGAUUCUCGAUAAGAAAACACGUGAUUUUUGCUUAAAUGGGGGAUUUGCGAAGAGAAAACGCGUGAUUUUCGGGUUAAAUGGGGGAUUCUCGAAGAGAAAACGUGUGAUUUUUGCUUAAAUGGGGGAUUUGCGAAGAGAAAACGCGUGUUUUCGGUUAAAUGGGGGAUUCUCGAAGAGAAAACGCGUGAUUUUCGCUUAAAUGGGGUAUUUGUGAAGAGAAAUCGCGUGAUUUUCGGGUUCAAUGGUGGAUUCUCGAAGAGAAAACGCGUGAUUUUGGCUUAAAUGGGGGAUUUGCGAAGAGAAAACGCGUGAUUUUCGGGUUAAAUGGGGGAUUCUCGAAGAGAAAACGCGUGAUUUUUGCUUAAAUGGGGGAUUCUCGAAGAGAAAACGCGUGAUUUUGCUUAAAUGGGGGAUUUGCGAAGAGAAAACGCGUGAUUUUCGCUUAAAUAAGGGAUUCGCGAAGAGAAAAUGCGUGAUUUUGCUUAAAUGGGGAUUCUCGAAGAGAAAACGCGUGAUUUUCGCUAAAUGGGAAGAUUCUCGAAGAGAAUACGCAUGAUUUUCGGGUUAAAUGGGGGAUUUGCGAAGAGAAAACGCGUGAUUUUCAGGUAAAGUAGAGGAUACUCGAAGAGAAAACGCGUGAUUUUCGCUUAAAUGGGAGAUUAGCAAAGAGAAAAUGCGUGAUUUUCGCUUAAAUGGGGGAUUUGCGAAGAGAAAACGCCUGAUUUUCGCUUAAAUGGGGGAUUCUCGAAGAGAAACGGUGAUUUUGCUUAAAUGGGGAUUCUCGAAAGAAAACCGUGAUUUUGCUUAAAUGGGGGAUUUGCGAAGAGAAAACGCGUGAUUUUCGGGUUAAAUGGGGGAUUCUCGAAGAGAAAACGCGUGAUUUUUGCUUAAAUGGGGGAUUCUCGAAGAGAAAACGCGUGAUUUUCGGGUUAUAUGGGGGAUUUGCGAAGAGAAAACGCGUGAUUUUCGCUUAAAUGGGAGAUUAGCAAAGAGAAAACGCGUGAUUUUUGCUUAAUAGGGAUUUCGAAAGAAAACGCAUGAUUUCAGGUAAAUGGGAUUCUCGAAGAGAAAACGCGUGAUUUUCGCUUAAAUGGGGGAUUUGCGAAGAGAAAACGCGUGAUUUUCGGGUUAAAUGGGGGAUUCUCGAAGAGAAAACGUGUGAUUUUCGGCUAAAUGGGGGAUUUGCAAAGAGAAAACGCGUGAUUUUCGCUUAAAUGGGGGAUUCUCGAAGAGAAAACGCGUGAUUUUCGCUUAAAUGGGGAUUCUCAAAGAGAAAACGCGUGAUUUUCGGGUUAAAUGGGGGAUUCACGAAGAGAAAACGUGAUUUUUGCUUAAAUGGGGGAUUUGCCAAGAGAAAACACGUGUUUUUCGGGCUAAAUGGGGAUUUGAGAAGAGAAAACACGUGAUUUUUGCUUAAAUGGGGGAUUCUCGAAGAGAAAACGUGAUUUUGGCUUAAAUGGGGGAUUUGAAAGAGAAAACGCGUGAUUUUCAG
ensembl:lncRNA